rnacentral:rRNA from 1 species
UACGUAGGUGGCGAGCGUUGUCCGGAUUUACUGGGCGUAAAGAGCGCGCAGGCGGUCGUCCAAGUCGCGUGUGAAAGCCCCCGGCUCAACUGGGGAGGGUCACGCGAUACUGAUCGACUCGAAGGCAGGAGAGGGAAGCGGAAUUCCCGGUGUAGUGGUGAAAUGCGUAGAUAUCUGGAGGAACACCGGUGGCGAAGGCGGCAUCCUGGACCAAUUCUGACGCUGAGGAGCGAAAGCCAGGGGAGCAAACGGG